AUUGAACGCUGGCGGCAUGCCUAGCACAUGCAAGUCGAACGGUAACAGGAAGAAGCUUGCUUCUUUGCUGACGAGUGGCGGACGGGUGAGAAAUGUCUGGGAAACUGCCUGAUGGAGGGGGAUAACUACUGGAAACGGUAGCUAAUACCGCAUAACGUCGCAAGACCAAAGAGGGGGACCUUCGGGCCUCUUGGCAUUGGCUUUUCCCAGAAUGGAUUAGCUAGUAGGUGGGGUAACGGCUCACCUAGGCGACGAUCCCUAGCUGGUCUGAGAGGAUGACCAGCCACACUGGAACUGAGACACGGUCCAGACUCCUACGGGAGGCAGCAGUGGGGAAUCUUGCACAAUGGGCGAAAGCCUGACGCAGCCACGCCGCGUGUAUGAAGAAGGCCUUCGGGUUGUAAAGUACUUUCAGCGGGGAGGAAGGGAGUAAAGUUAAUACCUUUACUCAUUGACGUUACCCGAAGAAGAAGCCCCGGCUAACUCCGUG
rnacentral:rRNA from 1 species